rnacentral:lncRNA from 1 species
GAAGACCUUUAUGAUAAUCUGCUUCCACUUAAUGAAUAGUUUAAGGUUGCUCUGAUGAAUUAAAGGCAAUGUAACUAUGAAACAAGAAUCAUAUUUUUCUUCUUCCGAAUCUUGUGUUACAGACCCUGGAGAUCAAGAAAGCAGUUGCUCUUCUCUAACAUAGGCCUUCCUUGUGGCAAAUUACCAUUACUAGCUGCAUGAAACUGAAUUGGAACUAGAAAACAAUUUUUUCUGCCAUGCCUUCAAUUCAGGUGAGUGUGUGUUCCCUGGGAAAGUCUUUG